GAAAUGCGAUACGUAAUGUGAAUUGCAAUUUUUAGUGAACCAUCGAAUCUUUGAACGCACAUUGCGCCCUCUGGUAUUCCGGGGGGCAUGCCUGUUCGAGCGUCAUUACAACCCUCAAGCCACGCUUGGAAUUGGAUCCAUAUCCCUCAUUGAGCGGGUUGAUCUCAAAGUUAUUGGCGGUGCCCAGUGUAGACUUGGAGCGUAGUAAUCUCGAUGCCGCUUUUCAAGUCACUUGGAUGCCUGCCUUAAGCACUAUUUUACCGGUUGACCUCGGAUCAGGUAGGGAUACCCGCUGAACUUAA
rnacentral:misc_RNA from 1 species